rnacentral:lncRNA from 1 species
CCCCCCCGUUCGUGUCGGUCGCCGCUACAGAUCCUUGCCGCCCGCACCCCUUGACCCCGAGCCCCGCCCCCGUCUGGCAGGUACAACCUCUGCCUCUCAAAAAUGCCAUCUUCCCAGCCUCGUGCGUCUCAUUUUCCUCUCCUCUUCCUGCAGAGUGGUGUCCUCUUCCCAGCCAAAGUCAGCUGAGUCGAAGCAGCACUUGCGAAUCACAAGUCACCGGCCGUCAGCAUUUUUUGGGAUUUUGUAUGUUCACUGCAUCUCUUUCUGGUAGAUGCUCACGCAGUCUUGCUUGACGAAAUUCAUCAUUUUGAUAAUUUGGCAGUUAAUUGACGAGAUGGUUCUUUUCUUAUCCUUAUAGUAUAUGUUUCUGAUGAAUUUCUUGACUAACUCAUUGGGGACAAUAUGUAGAUAUUCCUUCUUUCCUAAAUACAUAUGCUGAAAGGAAAAUGAUUUUACUCCCUCCAUCCGUGAAAGACUACACGUUUAGGCUUCACUUUUCCCCUAAAAGAUUGUACGUCUGCGUUUUCUGGGAUAAUUUUACAUUUUUCCCCUUGGUCUACACCUCGAGGUAACGCGGUGAUAACAACUCAGUCCAUUAAUUUGGUUCAGGCUGCAAGCGAACCCCCAAUCAUCUUGCAUUUUGCUUGUAUUACUAAUUGCUUUGGCCCACAGAAUAAAUGUGGUGGUGUGAAUCCAAGAGUUCUCCUAGCUAGUGGAGUAGCGUAGAUAGGGAAAUAGGUGUUUCUUUGCAAAAUGGUUAAUCUGUCUUAGAAAAUACAGAAGUGCAGUCUUUUGCGGAAGGAGGGAGUAUAUGAGAUAUUGACAGUAGAGAUAUUAAAUACGUAGAAUAAACAUCAGAUGGACCAUACAUAUUUCUUGUAGAGAUUGCCUUCUGGCACAUCGCCAAUGAAUAGCAACGACCAAUCUGAUGGAAUUCAAAACAUGACCUGAAAUAGACAAAAAAAACCAGUCUGAUUAAAUUUUCUUUAGGUUAGAUGUUGAAUUGCGAGAUGAUGUUGUUGAUGUUGUUUAUUAGAUUGUUGUGUGAGUGCUUAUGUUGGUUGUGCCGGUGCUUUUUAUGUGGAGGGAUCUUCUCUUCAUUUUGAGGAGCACCGUCGGUCCAGUUGUCGUUGCCCUCGUCAUUCAACUACUACCUCUACUGUCUAGGGGUGAGCUCGACUAUCAUCUCCUCCCCCUUCCCUAUUUGCUCUGUUCCGGUCGUUGUGCUGAUGCAUCUAAAUUUCUCUUUCAUGUCAAGUCUCGUAACCUAGGCAUCUCCCGUUCGAAGGGGCGGAUUGUGGUGUACUGGUGUUCUAAAGAGUAUAUGUUGAAACACAUAGAUUACAAAAAUCGGCGGAAGGCAAUGAAUUAUCCACCACACCAUCAAGGAAACUUGAGCCUUAAGGGAUUCACGAUACAUUGGGUAUAUCUUUCCUCCAAUCGAUUUGUU